CGCACCUUGCGCUCCUUGGUAUUCCGAGGAGCAUGCCUGUUUGAGUGUCGUGAAAUUAUCAACUCCUAUUCUUUAUUGAAUGGUGAGCUUGGAUUUGGAGAUUGCUGGUGAAAAUCGGCUUCUCUUGAAUGAAUUAGCUGGAAUUUGAUUCGCAGCAUAUAUGCGGUGUGAUAAUGUCGUCACUGUGUAGCUCGGAUUGUCUGGCUUCUAAUCGUCUUUCAUGGACAAUUUGAUCAUUUUGACCUCAAAUCAGGUAGGACUACCCGCUGAACUUAA
rnacentral:misc_RNA from 1 species